UCAAAUAUUGUCAGAUUGACAACAUUUUUCGUGUAACAUAAAAAUUCUCCGUGUACACAGAUUCGUCCUACGAAAUGUGGUGGCAUUUUUCGUCCUGAUUUUGAACAUGGUAUUGUUUCUUAGACUCAUAGUCGACUGGCUCAAUAAUAUGCGGAUUUAAAGAUGGCGCAUGCAAUGUUCAUUCCCAUAAGGAAACCAUUACUCAAUAAAAACUGCUUUUUUAUACGCGGAUUAGUUGGCAAGCCGGAGGAAACGGAAAAAUAUGGCGACGGUAGUGGAAUCUUCGAUAAACGCCGGGACGCUUUCGAAAAAGAAUACUUUUACAGACGAGAGAAAGAACAACUAGAACUACUAAAACGGAAGUAUAGAGAUGGAGAACAUGAUGAUGAUGAAGACGAUGAUAAAGAAUAUUCGAAACAUCGUGACCAUGACCAUGAUGAUGAUUAAAUAUGAUUUUUAAACUCAA